rnacentral:lncRNA from 1 species
AGACAUUUAAAAGUCAGUUCGUGAUGAACUUCAGCUGAAUUAAUUUACUUCAGGAUCAUGGCUUUUCUCCAAACGACACAACAGCUGAAGAUUUCUGGAGGGUUUUCUUUUCCUUCGGAGAUGAAUCAUUAGGAUUGGAGCUGAUCUCCGCUGGGUUUGGCCAGCUUCUGGAGCUCAUCUCGCCUGGUGUAGAUCCAUGACAGACAGACAGGUGGACUCAAACACUGAUGGCCAGAGUUACUGUGGACAAGAUGUUCUGGGCUGCUUUAU